CAGCAGCCGCGGGAAUACGGAGGGAGCUAGCGUUGUUCGGAAUUACUGGGCGUAAAGCGCACGUAGGCGGCUUUGUAAGUCAGAGGUGAAAGCCUGGAGCUCAACUCCAGAACUGCCUUUGAGACUGCAUCGCUUGAAUCCAGGAGAGGUGAGUGGAAUUCCGAGUGUAGAGGUGAAAUUCGUAGAUAUUCGGAAGAACACCAGUGGCGAAGGCGGCUCACUGGACCGGUAUUGACGCUGAGGUGCGAAAGCGUGGGGAGCAAACAGGAUUAGAGACCCCCGUAGUCCCUGUCUCUUAUAC
rnacentral:rRNA from 1 species